GAUGAACGCUAGCUACAGGCUUAACACAUGCAAGUCGAGGGGUAACGAGAGGAAAGCUUGCUUUCCUUGUCGACGACCGGCGCACGGGUGAGUAACGCGUAUCCAACCUGCCCCCAACUAGGGAAUAACCUUGCGAAAGUAAGACUAAUACCCUAUAAUUUCCUCAGAUGACAUCUGACGAGGAAUAAAGAUUUAUCGGUUGUGGAUGGGGAUGCGUCUGAUUAGCUUGUUGGCGGGGUAACGGCCCACCAAGGCAACGAUCAGUAGGGGUUCUGAGAGGAAGGUCACCCACAUUGGAACUGGGACACGGUCCGAACUCCUACGGGAGGCAGCAGUGAGGAAUAUUGGUCAAUGGGCGGAAGCCUGAACCAGACAAGUAGCGUGCAGGAUGACGGCCCUAUGGGUUGUAAACUGCUUUUAUACAGGAAUAAAGUUAGCCACGUGUGGUUAUUUGUAGGUACUGUAUGAAUAAGGACCGGCUAAUUCCGUGCCAGCCGCCGACGUAA
rnacentral:rRNA from 1 species